CUCAUUCUGUUUUUGCGUCAUGCAGGUUUCAAACUCCCGCUGAUAAGCUGCAAAUCGAUGCAAUGAUAUGUUGUGGUUCAAGUGCAGUUGUGACGGAAGCCUGUGAGAUGUUAGUUUGCUUCUUUUUUGUUAUAUGAUUAUUGAGAAAAUAAGUAGCAGUAGUGCCUGCUUAUAUUUUUUAUAUGUCUAUUGCUCAUGUAUUUAUUUCAUUUUACUGUGCAUUUCUGUCUUGAGAAUGGUGGCUUGCCAUGUGUAACAAACAUCUUGUGCUUAAGAACCGGAAAUUUAUUAGUUGUGCGCUUUGCUUAUUUGA